AAGAUGUGUUAUAACAGCGUCAGCUCUUUCAUUAGUAAUAGGAUAAUGGCUGAUAUCCCCGCCUGCUGGACAGAGGUUAGAGAGGUUUUUACUACUCGGGAAAUAUUUUCCCCAGAAUACCCAAUCAUUCCAGCCUUAUUAGCAUCUGUAUAAAAUGGGAAUUCCAAGGACUAGAGGAAGGUUCAAUAUGUUCAGCUUGUAAUUGUUCCUGUACUAAGUCAUGCAGCGCUUCUAAUUUCUCCUGAUGAAGGGGCCACUGUUCCACCCAGAUGGGU